rnacentral:lncRNA from 1 species
CUUGUCUGGCUCACAGAAGGAAUUUGUCCUAGGUAACGUAUGCAUCUGGCACUGUCACUCACCCCUUCUACAGAGAGAAACUUCACUGUAAUCCUUACCAAGUUCAGUCAACGCCCUCAAAGAAAAGCCAAGGAAAUUGUGCCUCAGCUGGUGGGUGCCGUGUGUGAUUGGACUCUGUGGGUACUUCCGAUCCUCCAGCCCGAGUCUGCUUUCUCAGCGCUUCCAGCAGAGCCCAGGCCUGGGAGCAUUUGCCACACUUGAGGAUUCUCAGAGCAACCAGCAGUGUGGAGUGAGACAGCGCUACAUGCUGGGCAGGGGCCAGGUGCUCAGGACUGAAAGAUGAGAAGACAAAGUGGCUUUCUCCAAAGAACUCAGGGUCUGAGGAGUGCUGCAGAUAACGCGAGCAGGGCGACUGCAACAUGGCUAUUACUUGUAAAAAAAAAAGGCACAUGUGAUCUUAGAGAUCUUGGGCUUCACCCAGAGUCACACCCUUCGCCGCUUCCCCUCUGUCCACGCCGGAGCCUUUCAACUGCCUCUCCUGUCUUGCUUUGCAGGAUGUCUCUUUGCUUGGCUUCAAGCUUGGUCUUUCCUUCUGCCUAGCAUCUUGUUUUCCGCUGAGUGGGAUUUCUUCUUUCCCUAACAUUCUGCUUCUCGUCAGGGCUCAGCCUUGGCCUUAUUUCUUGUCUCUGUGGUGAAAGGAAUGAGAACAAGAGAUCCAAUCAUGAAAAAUCCAUCCACUGAACAGGGCUUAGGUGCUGGCGAAAUGUCAGACGCUGGACGUGGAGAGGGCCGGUUAGCCACAGCAGCUGCCACAGCGGGACGCCCAGGGACUUUGGCGCUGCCUCUGCCUACCCAAGCAUCUGCUGGUCUAAAUCUUGAGGAAACCAUGCCGCCCGGAAGCUGCCCGACCGGAUAGACACCCUUCCCAGCUGAACAUGGCCAGGAUCUUCUGACCCAGUUAAGCAGGAAGUGCUGGACUAUGGCUGGCAACUGGGAAGAGUGGAUUUUCCAAGAAGACAAAAUUUCCUUUUUAUUUUUUUGCAUUUGGGGCUGAAUGCGGUAAAUUACACCCUGAUCAUCCUGGGCUCCCAGGUCCUGAGGAAUGUGAAAAGGGAGUGGAGAUUGAGCAACACUGGCUCCUGGGGCCGAGCAAGCCCAAGAUUCUGAGGUCUGCACAGCGCUGGACAGGUCUGGGCCUUUCUGGUAAACAUCUGGUCCGUUUCUCAACACCGGAAUGACCCGCAGAGGGGAAAACACCUGAAGGAAAGCAUCCAGGGCAUGCAGGAAGCGCUUGGGAAGUUUGUACACUGGUGAGAGAGCCAACUUUUUCCAUGGCUGGGGAUGAGCUGUGGCUGUUGGGAGCCCUGGAUGAUGGUGUGUGCUGUCCUCCCCAGCACCUUCUCUGAGCACCCUGACCUGUAGGAACACAGCAGACACAGCCGUGUCUGUCAGAAGGUGACGGAGUGUGGAUUAAGCUCCG